AAAAAACAAUGUAAAGAAUGCAAUGAAAUCGCUAUUCUCUAAUCUCUUUCCCUAUUCCGUUUUCAACUUCAUCUGCCCUAAUUGCCUCAUCCAAAUCGCUAUUCAAUCGUCGAUGAAUGUAUUCACUACUACUAUAGAGAAUCUUAAAUCUAACAUGCAAUUGGUGAAAGAGAUUGCAAUCGUUCGUCUCAAGGUUCCAUUUCCUCAAACGAACCCUAACAUUAAUCUUCAAUUCCUUUAGGUAUUACUCUCUCAAUCACUCUCAAUCGCUUUUGGUCAUCACCGUUUCGCCUCUCAAUUGUUUCUGGUCAUCGUUGUUUCGCCUCUCAAUCGCUUCAGGUUUUCUUCUUAGAUUCAAAAGGAGAUUUAGUUGUCCAGAUUGAAGAGAUUGAGUUUUGCCAUUCUGCUUCAUAGAUUUUCAAUUUCGUUAAUCAUUUAGCAAAGUAAAAUCAUCACUUUAAUUUGUGAUAAGCGGUUUGGGGUUCUUGUUCUCCCCGUUAUUUUGGUUUACUCUGCUUUUUUAGACCUAGCCUAUUUUUUAAGCUGUUGAUGUGCUUGCUUCUAUUUUAUGUUUGGUAGCUGCAUUUUAUAUUGUUGUAAUUAAUUUUUAAGAUGAUUGGUCAUGGUUCUGUUUUGAGAGUUUUGUUUAAGUGGUUUAUUUUUCUAUUUUGUUGUAAGGUGCUUAUGGAUGGUCUGCUUUCAUUAUAACUGUUGGAUAAUUUUAUGAGGUAGGAAGUUGGCUCUUCAUUUCAACAGGUUCUGCAACAUUUCUGUUGGUAUGCGCUUCAGGAUGCUUUUCGAGAUUGAAGAAUCAGUGUUUGCAUAUACAUGUAUACAUUAAAUUUUUUAUUUUUUUAUUCUUUUUUUAUUAUCUUUUCUAGAGGUUUAGAUAGUGAAAAAUAUUUUAAUUAUCUUACC